rnacentral:rRNA from 1 species
AUGAGGCCUCUGGACUGCAUCGGUUUUUUGCACAAAGACCCCUGGAUCCAGGGCGAAAGGCGCAUAGCCCCCUUUCCUCUGUUCUCUGCCUGUUCGUGUUCUUCGCCGAUGGGAGAGGAGACAGGUGGCACCGCUAGCGCGGCGAGCUCGUCGGCGGCAAGUCAGUCAUCGGUGACGAUGGUGGAUCCGGCGACGGAGUUGCCACUCCUGAGGACCGAAGCGCAUGGGAGGCCGAUAUACGGUUAUGAAUCAGUGAAAUUCAAUGUGGAGGUGCAUCAUGGAGGGUUUUUUGUGUGGAAGGGAGUGAAUCUGACAUAUUUGGAUGAGAAGAUAUGUUGGUUUGACAAUUUGGACACAAGAACUUUUUGCAGUGACUGCAUCUACUACAUGCUAGCACAAUUGAAUGAUCCUGAUCAUGAGAAAAUUAUGUAUUGGUGCCCACCUGGAAAAAUACUUGCAGAUAUGGUGGAAAUCAUCCUGGAAGUUCACUGUCAGAAGAUGGCCAAAGCCUCUGUUCACUCAAAGGUACUGGUUUUGUUUGUCAGGCAUAUCAGAAAACCUGAGAUGCAGGAGGAAGAUGACAUUGUGUUCAAAGGUUGCCCUGUUCUACCCAAAGUUAUAUUUAGUCCACUUAGAAAUGACAAGAAGAUGAAAACAGAGAAACUGUCAGAGGAGGCAGAAAAUUCAGAGCAACAAGAAGAUGCAGAUAUAUCAGAAAAUUCAGAAGUUUCAGAAGAAGAGUAUGAAUGUGAUUCAGACAUAGAUCCUACUUGGUAUGACAGUGAUUAUGGAAUGGAGGAGGAUGAUGAGGAGUAUGACAAGAAUGUAGAUGCUGUUGUGUAUGAUGCUUUGAUUGAGAAAGGCAAAAGUAUUGGUGCUGAUACAGGCAUGUUCCUGGGACAGAUGAUGUGUAUGAAGAUGAUUUGUAGCUGCCAGAAGAGGAUGAUUGGGAUAGAAAACAUAAAAGUGACUCUGAUGAUGAGGAGUAUAAGAAGAAAAAAGAAGGAGAACCCCAUUUAUAAGUUUAAACUAUUUAACCCAGCUGUUGACAUGGAAAACCCUCAAUUCAAGCUGGGCAUGGUUUUUGAUUCUGUGGAGCUCCUUAGGAAAGUAGUAGCACAGUAUGUAGUGAAGAACAGGGUGCAAAUUAGGAAGAAAAGAAAUAAUAAACAAAGAUUUGAGGCAGUGUGUGAAGAGGGUUGCCCUUGGAAACUAGUGGCUGUUAAUGACAAUAGGACACAAUCUUUUCUUGUGAAGACUUUAAUUGCAGAGCACACUUGUGAGAAGGUCUGGGAUGUCAAAGAACUAACAGCCCCCUUUCUUGCUAGCAAAUAUGUGGAGAAGUUCAGAGAUAAUGAGAAGAUUUCUCUAGCUACAUUUUCAAGGAAAGUUAGGAAGAAAUUUAACAUGGAAGUUAGCAGACACAAGCUAGGUAGAGAUAGGAAAGCAGCAUUGGAAGUGGUGCAUGGGGAUGAGGUGAAGUAG